UACGUAGGGUGCAAGCGUUGUCCGGAAUUAUUGGGCGUAAAGAGCUCGUAGGCGGUUUGUCGCGUCUGCCGUGAAAGUCCGGGGCUCAACUCCGGAUCUGCGGUGGGUACGGGCAGACUAGAGUGAUGUAGGGGAGACUGGAAUUCCUGGUGUAGCGGUGAAAUGCGCAGAUAUCAGGAGGAACACCGGUGGCGAAGGCGGGUCUCUGGGCCACUACUGACGCUGAGGAGCGAAAGCGUGGGGAGCAAACAGG
rnacentral:rRNA from 1 species